rnacentral:lncRNA from 1 species
CCAUUUGCCACAAUUCUUAUCCUUAUAUCCAGAUACUGUAUGAUAUCUGCGCUUUCUCUUUCUUUAACCAACUCUAAACCAAGCAAGGAGUCCUUCAAUUUUUCAUCUAACUUCAAAGAACCAGCCUGCCGUUCAGUAAUUACCAAUAUGUCAUCCACAUAUCAUCGAUAUAAGACCACAUUGUUUUCUAUAAAGGGAAUAAUACUCAUCUCCUUAUAUCUUACAAUCAGCUCCACUACAACGCCGGCCAUGGGACUUCCUAUAGGAACACCAACCAUUUGAUAGAAUAUAACGCAAUUAAAAAUGAGGUACAACCAUUUGAUAGAAUAUAACGC